rnacentral:lncRNA from 1 species
ACAGGCAGUGACACUGAGACCCAGAGAUGUCCAGUGUCCUGGGCCAAGUAACAUAAUGGAGGCAGAAACAGCAUUAAAACACCACAGGGGCUGCAGGCACUGGAACCUUCCAGCCUCUAACCCUCCUCCACAGCUCGGAAGACCUAGAAAGAACACCACAGCUCUGCUGGCUAGAACCAGUUAACAGGUCAAGGUCCUGGCACAGGCUCAAGCAAAGGUCUCCAGUCCACAGAGCUCUUUCUCUACACAUGCAGCUCUGGGUACGAAUGAAUACAUGUUAUCAGUGUGGUAGGCAGGGGCCAUAUAAAGGUUGAUUCAUGAGGCUGAGACCUUCGUGGGGUUCAGGUGCAGUCUGGUGGGGGAGACAGACACAAUGUGGUGACCUUAGGUGUUAGUCACACAGAGAGCCAUCCAGGGAGAGGCAACAGGGUUGGUGUGAUGUGGUGUGGUGUGGUGGCAGCGGUGGGAGAGGGUAGAGCAUUGCUACGGAAACGUGGAGUGCCAGGGGAGGGUUGUGAGAAUAAGACUUGCUGGCUGACCUCAAGGGACCCUAAGGAGCUUCAGCGGGAUGGCUGCAGGGCCCGAGGAAGGAAAGGCCCUCCGGGUGGCUCUGAGGUAUCUAGGGCACAGGGUGCUAGCUACCUCCAUGGGGAAGCCUCAGGUACAAGGCUCAGGUCUGCUAUUCUUCAUGACCCUAGGCGUGUUCCUUCCUUCUGAGACUCCCAUUUCAUCCCUUCAUCUACAUAAAGUAGCCGCUACGGCACAACAGAGUACCUGCACUCUGCACAGGCUAAACUCUGUCUUUUCUUUCUUUCUUUUCCUGGUUGCUUAUGGUCCCUGAUUUGGCUGAGGGUCCUAGUUUCUUCGUCUGAGAACCCAGGAACUGCUUCUCUGUGUUUGUGGCUAUAUGGGCUGUGGCAAGCUGAUGCACCCUUUAGUCGGCAUCUUGGAAAAGCAUGGCACCAGCCUCCUUGGAUUCCCAAGACAUCCCUGGCUGCCCAAGGGCCUUUGAGGAUUGCACCUCUGUGUGGAUUCCCUUGUCCUUGGCCACUUCCCUGCCUCCUCCAUGCCUCCCGCUGGUCACCCUGUCAUAUCACCAGACGGAUGCUUGCCAGGGCCUGUGAAGAAGUUCCUGAAGAAGUUCCUUUCUGGGCUGUCAGAUGGCUCAGUGGGUAAGAGCACCUGACUGCUCUUCUGAAGGUCCAGAGUUCAAAUCCCAGCAACCACAGGUGGCUCACAACCAUCUGUAACAAAAUCUGACUCCCUCUUCUGGAGUGUCUGACAGUGUACUU